UACCCGCAGCUCAAGUGGUGGUCAUUAUUAUUGGGCCUAAAGCGUCCGUAGCUGGUUUGUUAAAUGCCUGGGUAAAUCGAUGCGCUCAACGCAUCGAAUUCCGGGUAGACUGGCAAACUCGAGACCGGGAGAGGUGUAGGCUACUCGAGGGGUAGGGGUAAAAUCCUGUAAUCCUUCGGGGAGGACCAGUGGCGAAGGCGUUACACUAGAACGGCUCUGACAGUGAGGGACGAAGCCCUGGGGCGCAAACCGG
rnacentral:rRNA from 1 species